rnacentral:sRNA from 1 species
CCCUAGCCCUGAUGGUCGAAUUGCUCUCGCAAUUACCUUUUAUUUUUUCCUUUAAAAAAUAAAAGAUACAGCGGACAGCAGGAAAUAGC